rnacentral:rRNA from 1 species
GAUGAACGCUAGCUACAGGCUUAACACAUGCAAGUCGAGGGACCGGCGCGCGGGUGAGUAACACGUAUCCAACCUGCCCUUUACUCGGGGAUAGCCUUUCGAAAGAAAGAUUAAUACCCGAUAUCAAGGAUGGGGAUGCGUUCCAUUAGGUUGUUGGUGAGGUAACGGCUCACCAAGCCUUCGAUGGAUAGGGGUUCUGAGAGGAAGGUCCCCCACAGUGGAACGGAGACCCGGGCCAAUCUGCGACGGGAGGCAGCAGUGAGGAAUAUUGGGCAAUGGGCGCUAGCCUAAACCAGCCAAGUAGCGGGAAGGAGGAAGGCUUAUGGAUCGUAAAUUUGUUUGAGAUAAGAAUAUGUAUUAUAUGAAUAAGGAUCGGCUAACUCCGUGCCAGCAGCCGCGGUAAUUC